rnacentral:misc_RNA from 1 species
UACGGAGGGUGCAAGCGUUGCUCGGAAUUAUUGGGCGUAAAGGGGAGGUAGGUGGUCUUGUUUGUCUGGGGUGAAAUCCCUGAGCUUAACUCAGGAAGUGCCUUAGAAACGGCAAGACUGGAGUCCUGGAGAGGGUCGUGGAAUUCCCGGUGUAGAGGUGAAAUUCGUAGAGAUCGGGAGGAACACCAGAGGCGAAGGCGGCGACCUGGACAGGUACUGACACUAAACUCCGAAAGCGUGGGGAGCAAACAGG